UACGUAGGGGGCAAGCGUUGUCCGGAUUUAUUGGGCGUAAAGCGCGUGUAGGCGGCCAGGUAGGUCCGCUGUGAAAACCCGAGGCUCAACCUCGGGACGUCGGCGGAAACCAUUUGGCUAGAGUCCGGAAGAGGAGAGUGGAAUUCCCGGUGUAGCGGUGAAAUGCGCAGAUAUCGGGAGGAACACCUGCGGUGUAGACGGCUUACUGGACCAUAACUGACGCUGAGGCACGAAAGCGUGGGUAGCAAACAGG
rnacentral:rRNA from 1 species